CUGAAGUGAGGGCUAGAAAAUUCGUCUCUGUAGCUUCGAAGUUCAGACCCAAAAAUCUCUGUCCAUCGUCUUCCUCUCCUUCGUUCUAUUCUCAUCAUUGGUGAAACUGAAGGAUCGUCGCUGCUCUUACACGUUCAGGUCGCCGAAGCUGGGUACUGAUCACGAGCUUGAUCUAAUGCUGAGUCUGUUCUUUUUCUCUCUUUCGAGUGUUGCUCUGUCUUCCUCUUCCUUGUUCAGACGAAAAUCCUGUCUUCUCUCCUUAUUCUAUCGGCAGCUUCUUGAUCUCUCCCUCCUUUGCUGUUAUUGGUGAUUGAGGUGCGAUUGAACUUCAUUUGAAAUAACCUUCAGUUGCUUGGUGUGAUAACAUAAGCAUGGCGGCAAUGGCAUCUAAUCAUGCUCUCCAUGCUUGAUCAAAACACAUUGAAUUAGGUGGGUCUCAUUACAAGAAAUAAGAAAAAACAAAUAUACACUCUCAUUUCAAUUCAAAAUUCAUUAAAAAAAUGGAACUUCUUUCCAAUGCUGACAUAAUGAGCAUGCAAAUAAAUAAAGAAUAUAGAGAAUCAUGUUGAAAUAUUACAAAUAGAUAAAGGGCUUCUGUU